rnacentral:SRP_RNA from 1 species
UCGCGCUAGGCGGGGAGUUGGGGCUUCCCUGUACCUGAAACGCUCCCUAUGCAGGGCUGAAUUCCCGCCCGAGAGUUGCGUCGCCCCAGCUUUGUCUGUGCUAGAUGAUUAUGAGGAUUCAGUCCCCGCGCGACACAUACCUGCGAACCCCGUCAGGUCGGGAACGAAGCAGCGGUAAGUGGGUCAAGGUGGGCGCCGCGGGUUUGCUGGGUCUGAGUCGGAAGGUAACGGGGGCUGGCAGAUGCGAACCGACGGCGGGUGCGCGA